rnacentral:misc_RNA from 1 species
AAGUCGUAACAAGGUUUCCGUAGGUGAACCUGCGGAAGGAUCAUUGUCGAAUCCUGCAAACGACCGCGAACAAGUUCAUAAACUGACCGGGCGACGGCGAUAGGGGGCGACCCCGUUCGCACGACCCCGGACCCAACUAAACUCCCGGCGCGGAAAGCGCCAAGGACUACUCAAACGGAUUGCCCGUUUCCCUUGCGGAUUCCGCGAGGGAGGCGUCGGCGUCUGAAACGUAACCAAAACGACUCUCGGCAACGGAUAUCUAGGCUCUC